rnacentral:lncRNA from 1 species
AACAAAACCUUAUGAUUAAUAAGUAAUAAAAAAAUAAAAAAAACAAUAAUUAAAUCGAAGAUCCAGUACUUAGAAGACUAAAUUUACAAUCAAUCGAAAUCAUGAGGACCAACACAACAAUUAAACGCAUAAGUUCCAGAAUUCAAAUUCAAAUAACAAAAACGCCACCGGUUUAUUUUGGACUAAAAUGAAAAUAGAAUAAAAGAUAUGGUAUAGAUUUUUAAAAAAUUGAAAGAAAUCGGAUUGAAACAAUGCAAAACAAAGGAGGACCUGUUGCAUAAAUAGACCUUUGAACAAAAUUGCGCGGAUCCUUCCCCGAGUCGGGUCACCGCGCGGAUCUAUGCCUGUAAACGACACCGUUUUGAAGCCAUGGCCUUGGCUCCAAACGAUGCCGUUUCCUCCACGGUUUAAAACACAAAACCCUAAGCCAUCAAAUAUGCUCCCAAUCAAAAAGAAAACCUAAGGGAAAAAAAAGAAAAAAAAUAAACUCUCUGCGCCGUUCUGUGCACUGAAGGCGCUUGAGUGAUCUCCGAUCCAAGCCUGGUCUCCGAUGACGACGGAGAAGGCUCGAAUCUCGUCACAAGGUACUUUCUACCCUUUUUUAUUACUGUUUCUUCCCUUAAUAAACGACCAGUAGAUGCAAAAUAGAAAAAGAAACGAAGGGAAAAGAGAAAAAAAACGACUUGCGAAUAAUAAAAAAACCCAGAAAUCACCUUCUUUGUAUUUUGAUUUUUGUAUUCUGAAUGCGUAUAUGUUACAGCAUACUCUUGGUAUUUUUUAUAGUCUCUAUUUACAGAAAAAAUGAAAAAUAAAAAUAAAAAUCCAAACAAAUCGCCCCCGCUCUGUUAUCUUUGCUUUUUUCUCUGCCAUUUUUGUGUGCCGUUGCUAUCUGUUUUACUGCUCAUUAGUUUGUCUCUUGCAGGUACGGUGUGCAGAGGUGCGGACGUGGCACGUACGGAGGCGAAGGCGCGCGCGUACGAGGGCUCGUCACGUGCGGAGAGAGAGCGAAGGGACGUCACUGCUGCGGCGCUGGGAACCCUUGCUGCUAGGGUUUCCAUGUGUCGUUUUGUGUUUUGGGCUAAUUUGGGUCAUUGGGUAUUUAGGCUAAUGGGCCGAAUUGGGAUGGUAAUUUGGGCCAUUGUAAUUGGGUUGUUUUUGGACUUGGGUUUGAUGUAAUUUGGGUUAUUGGGCUCGGUGGGUCUGAGUCUGUAAAUGGACAUUUAUUUAAUUGAAUUUGGGUUUAAUUUUAAUAUUUGUAAAACUAGGUUGUUAAUAGUGGAUAUUUUAAUUUAAUGUAUUUAUUUUUUUCUUUUUGGUACUUAUUGGGCCGGGAAAAAUGGGUUAUUACAUCAGUUACAAAAGGAAUUGGAGUGUGUUCUUCAUCAUGAAGAGUUGCUUUGGAAACAAAAAGCUAGGUGCGACUAGAUGCAGUUUGGAGAUUGAAACACUAAGUUUUUCCAUUCUCGCAUGAUUCAAAAAAAGAAUUGUAAUAAAAUUUCUGCCUUGAAGAAUGAUGAAGGCGAUUGGAUUUUUGAGGAUGAGCGGCUCCGGACUAAGGUUGUUAGAUUCUUCCAGAAUCUGUAUAGUGAAGUCCCGAUUUGUAUAAAACCUUUAC